rnacentral:rRNA from 1 species
GACGAACGCUGGCGGCGUGCUUAACACAUGCAAGUCGAACGGAAAGGCCCUGCUUUUGUGGGGUGCUCGAGUGGCGAACGGGUGAGUAACACGUGUGUAACCUGCUCUAGACUUUGGGAUAACUUCAGGAAACGGGGGCUAAUAUCGUAUAGGAGCUCCUGCUGCAUGGUGGGGGGUGGAUAGUUUCGGCGGGUGGGGAUGGACUCGCGGCUUACCAGCUUGUUGGUGGGGUAGUUGCUUACCAAGGCUUUGACGGGUAGCCGGCCUGAGAGGGUGACCGGCCACAUGGGGACUGAGAUACGGCCCAGUCUCCUACGGGGGGCAGCAGUGGGAAAUAUUGCACAGUGGGCGGAAGCCUGAUGCAGCGACGCCGCGUGCGGGAUGACGGCCUUCGGGUUGUAAACCGCUUUCGCCUGUGACGAAGCGUUAGUGACGGUAAUGGGUAAAGAAGCACCGGCUAACUACGUG